GCAUUAAUGGGGUAGUGGUAACCUGGGUCGUUGCCAUGCGGACGAUAACUCGACCCGCCGGGGGUUCGAUUCCCCCUUAAUGCA